GAUGAAGAACGUAGUGAAAUGCGAUAAGUAAUGUGAAUUUCAGAAUUCAGUGAAUCAUCGAAUCUUUGAACGCACAUUGCGCCCCCCAGUAUUCUGGCGGGCAUGCCUGUUCGAGCGUCAUUUCUACCAUCAAGCCCUGCUUGUGUUGGGGUCCUGCGGCUGCCCGCAGGCCCUGAAAACCAGUGGCGGGCUCGCUAGUCACACCGAGCGCAGUAGCACAUCUCGCUCAGGGCGUGCGGCGGGCUCCAGCCGUUAAAGCACCCACCUUUCGCAAGGUUGACCUCGGAUCAGGUAGGAAUACCCGCUGAACUUAAGCAUAUCAAUAAGCGGAGGA
rnacentral:misc_RNA from 1 species